GAUGAACGCUGGCGGCGUGCCUAAUACAUGCAAGUCGAGCGAACGGACGAGAAGCUUGCUUCUCUGAUGUUGGCGGCGGACGGGUGAGUAACACGUGGAUAACCUACCUAUAAGACUGGGAUAACUUCGGGAAACCGGAGCUAAUACCGGAUAAUAUUUUGAACCGCAUGGUUCAAAAGUGAAAGACGGUCUUGCUGUCACUUAUAGAUGGAUCCGCGCUGCAUUAGCUAGUUGGUAAGGUAACGGCUUACCAAGGCAACGAUGCAUAGCCGACCUGAGAGGGUGAUCGGCCACACUGGAACUGAGACACGGUCCAGACUCCUACGGGAGGCAGCAGUAGGGAAUCUUCCGCAAUGGGCGAAAGCCCGACGGAGCAACGCCGCGUGAGUGAUGAAGGUCUUCGGAUCGUAAAACUCUGUUAUUAGGGAAGAACAUAUGUGUAAGUAACUGUGCACAUCUUGACGGUACCUAAUCAGAAAGCCACGGCUAACUACGUG
rnacentral:rRNA from 1 species